rnacentral:rRNA from 1 species
CAGCAGCCGCGGUAAUACGGAGGGAGUUAGCGUUGUUCGGAAUUACUGGGCGUAAAGCGCACGUAGGCGGUUAUUCAAGUCAGAGGUGAAAGCCCGGGGCUCAACCCCGGAACUGCCUUUGAAACUAGAUGACUGGAAUCUUGGAGAGGUCAGUGGAAUUCCGAGUGUAGAGGUGAAAUUCGUAGAUAUUCGGAAGAACACCAGUGGCGAAGGCGACUGACUGGACAAGUAUUGACGCUGAGGUGCGAGAGCGUGGGGAGCAAACAGGAUUAGAUACCCGCGUAGUCCCUGUCUCUUAUAC